rnacentral:rRNA from 1 species
UACGAAGGGGGCUAGCGUUGUUCGGAAUUACUGGGCGUAAAGCGCGCGCAGGCGGUUCUUCAAGUCAGUGGUGAAAGCCCGGAGCUCAACUCCGGAACUGCCAUUGAAACUGUGGAACUUGAGGAUGAGAGAGGUGAGUGGAAUUCCCAGUGUAGAGGUGAAAUUCGUAGAUAUUGGGAAGAACACCAGUGGCGAAGGCGACACACUGGCCCGUUACUGACGCUGAGGCGCGAAAGCGUGGGGAGCAAACAGG